GGCAAAUAAGGGAGCAGCCAGUUCUCACAAGGGAUCAGGGCAGGCUUCCUGGAGGCAGUGCCACCCAAGCUACAUCUUGAGCACUGAAAUUUUGGUGGUAGGACACCACCAGAGAGCAGAGACCCAGGAUUUGCCCUCUGGGAACCAGCAGCUUGAGGAGAAGCUCUUUUCCAUCAGGAAGAGAGGAGUCAGUGGCUUCUGUCUUUGCCCUGACCUUGACCUUGACCUUGGCCUACUCCUGCUUCCAUGUGGGAGGGACCAAGGAUCUUUCUUUCUCCAAUAUUUUGUCUGGGUUUUGAUGGAGAGUCAACUUCUCAUUUCAACAGAGCUUAGCUGUGAGCCAGAACCUUUCCAGGCUUAGGGAUCUGUGUGGCUGGAAAAUGAACCUUUCCUCAGAUGAAGGACGUUUGAUAAGAAAGCUGACGAGGAAAGAGCACUGUGUGAGCCCACACACGAGCCCACGCAGGCAGGUGCCCCGGCCGUUGUACUAGCUGGCCUUCAGACUCCAGGCUCAGCCAGCCUCGGGGUUUGUCCUGCCUGCUCCCGCCUCCUGGGACCUUCUUUCUUCGGCUCCUCAGGUCUGCUUGCUUCUUGUUACUGUGGCUUUGACUGCAGUGCCACCUCUUCAGGAGACAGUCCCUGCUACUGUUCUUGGAUGCGGAGUCUGAGGCUCAGAGAGGUGACAUGACUGGUCCCAGUGCUCGUGACCAGCUGGACCCUGACUCAGGACCUAAGUGUCCAUCUGAUUUCAGUCCAGUAUUCUGUACCCUACGCUAGGCAGCCUGUGGCUGACUGAGUGCAAACUGCAAGCGAUGAACAUCAUCACCGUCAUUUCAUUUUUUAUGAGUGUGACAAUGCCUGUGACUGGCCUUGCUAGGCUCCCUGCCCCUCCCCACUGCCUGAGGACUCGCGGUGCUCCUGACCCAGCCCCUCUUCUUGAGCCCAGGUGAAGUUUAAUGCCCAGUUGGGCAGUGGGAUGCCUCGGGCCCAAUUCCAUGGAGACCUUUGGUGCCCCUAAAGCUGUGACCCACGGCAGAGUGGCACUAAUGUCCCCCAAAGAAGGGUGCCACCAAAUGGUGUCACAUCAACCUUGCCUCCACACCUGUCCGCACCUGCCCCCUUUAGGGCGGGGUGAAACGAGGCGCCGAGAAGGCAGGUGUGGACGUGCCCUGGAAGGCUGCACUGCUUGGCUGAGGUGGUGGCCGGCAGCAGAGCUCACUCAGGGCCCGGGUGGCACCCUGGACUCAGCCCCAUGGCCAGCUCUGACUGCGGGACCCAGACGUGGGGUCUGGGCAUGCAGCAGGAGGCUGACUGGGGCAACCGGAAGCGAGCACACGUGGACUGGCCGGAGGGGGAGCUGCAGGGCAGGACAGGGUGCCCACACCUGCUUUUCCCAAACAGAUGCCUCCCUUCCAGACACCCCCACCAUGUCUGCUGUUUUCCAGGAAAGGCUGAUACAAUCGCUGACUCGGCUAACCGAGGCUGGUAUCACGCUGGCAGCCCUGCAGGACGAGCCUGCUGCUUCCAGGGCCCAGCAGGGCUUGCCCAGGAGCCCUGGGCCUGGCCAGCCUCCCGUUACCCACCCUGCACUAUUGUUCCUGCCUGGCACCUGGCUCUGCAUCUCUUGCUCUCCUUCUCUCCUGCCCCACCCUCUAGACCAAACAUCACUUCAUGCCCAAACCCAGGCUCCUUCCAGUUCCCCAGGUGCCAACCUUGUUCGUGUCUGAGGCACGAUCGGGUGACAGGACCCUGGCAGCACCCACUCCCCACCCACACCUCAGGUUUCCUGGAUGCGGGGGCCCCAGACCUGGUAUAGAUUGAAUUCCAGGACCACAUGUACAGGCUGCGUGGCCUUGGGCGAGUCCCUUUACCUCUCUGAGCUUCAGUUUCCUCAUUGGUGAGAGGCAAGUUGCCUCCCCCGCUAUGCCCCGCUGUUACAAUAUGGAAAGUGUCUACUCGGGUGCUUGCAUGCAGGAGGUGUUCAGGAAAUGGUUUCCCAGCGUGACCUGUUCUCCCAGGGCCCGUGGGGAAGGCGGAAGCUGUGGAAGCUUCUGCUCCCUCAUCUAACUAAUCAGCAUGAGGUCAUGAUGCUCAGCACACAGCUCUGACCGUUCCCCUGUGACAUGGGCUACAGCUGUGGAGCCUUCACCUGGCCAGCUCCCGGCUCCCGGCUCCAGCGGAGCCGACUGGCGCGCUGGGCCUCCCAGCAUUAAUAGAGCCUGAGGUGUGGGUAGGGAGUGGGCACUGCCAGGGACACUGGCUGGGCAAGAUUGGGACUGGGAAGAAUGCAGCCUCGCAAAGCACAGAGUGGGCAAGGCUGCCCUGUGGAGGGCAUCAGCUGGGCACCCCCAGGCUGGGAGGUCUGGCCAUCUGGGGCAGCUCUGGGUGAGGAACCCCAGGCCAGGAAGCCCCUGUUGGAGGCUUAGUUCCCAGGCCCUGGUUCUGGUUGUAGUAUGUCACCCCUGCUCCAGACAGCUUCUUGUUUGUUUUGGGCUUGAGAGAAAUUAAUGAAAUUGUUACUGUAAUUAUCAGCCUGGCGGGCACCAUCCAGGGAUGGCAAAGAGGGGCUGGUAGGCAAGCAGGAGAGGGCCUGGGCACAGGGAUGGCUCAACUAGUGACAGGUGAAGAGGGUGGAGUGUGUGACUGAGCGGUGGAUUGGAUAAGGGAGUGAAUCAGUGAAUGAAUAAGUGAAUUAAUGAGUGAGUAAGCGAGUGCCUAAGUAGUAUGUGCAAACAUUUAUGUAGCUCUCGCUACAUGGCCAACAUUCUUUAAGCAUUUUACUUGUCUGAACUCACUCACUUCACAAAAAUGUCAUGAAAUAGGCAAUAUUACUACUUUCAUCUUACAGAGAAUGCCGCUCCCAGCACAGAGAAGUUAGGGAACUUGCCCACAGUCACAUAGUUGGUAAGUGACUGAGUCGGGAUUUGAACCCAUGCAGGCUGGCUCCAGGGUCUCUGGGUACCAAGUGGGAGCAUAGCCCCAGGGCUGUGAAGGGAGCUCAUAGCUGAGGGGUGGGAAGAUGGAUUUUGUAGUCUGAGCUUGGAGACUUCAGACUUCACAGUAACAGUGUGUCAUUCAUUCAUUCAUUCCACAAAUCAGCUAGUCACUCACUCAUCUAGCUGCUCACUGGCUCAGGGAGAGGGAGGUGUAGGAUUAGUAAGAUUCUAUUCUGCUCUGGCAGAAUUUGUCCUUCAGGGCUCAGCUCAGAUGCCACCUCCUCCAGAAAGCCUUCUCCGACUUCUCUGUGGCCAAGGGCCCAUAGGCUCCUGAGCUUCCCUCACUAUUAUCUUCCCCUCUGCCUGCUUCCCUCACCUGCUGGACAGUGCUUUUGUCUCUGAAAUUUUGGUAUACUGUGGGUGCCUAAUAAAUGCUUGAUGAGUCACCUUG